CGGCGAACGGGUGAGUAACACGUGAGCAACCUGCCCCUGACUCUGGGAUAAGCGGUGGAAACGCCGUCUAAUACCGGAUACGACCCGCCACCUCAUGGUGGAGGGUGGAAAGUUUUUCGGUCAGGGAUGGGCUCGCGGCCUAUCAGCUUGUUGGUGGGGUAACGGCCUACCAAGGCGAUUACGGGUAGCCGGCCUGAGAGGGCGACCGGCCACACUGGGACUGAGACACGGCCCAGACUCCUGCGGGAGGCAGCAGUGGGGAAUAUUGCGCAAUGGGCGAAAGCCUGACGCAGCGACGCCGCGUGGGGGAUGACGGCCUUCGGGUUGUAAACCUCUUUUACCACCAACGCAGGCUCCCAGUUCUCUGGGGGUUGACGGUAGGUGGGGAAUAAGGACCGGCUAACUACGUGCCAGCAGCCGCGGUAAUACGUAGGGUCCGAGCGUUGUCCGGAAUUAUUGGGCGUAAAGAGCUCGUAGGCGGCGUGUCGCGUCUGCUGUGAAAGACCGGGGCUUAACUCCGGUUCUGCAGUGGAUACGGGCAUGCUAGAGGUAGGUAGGGGAGACUGGAAUUCCUGGUGUAGCGGUGAAAUGCGCAGAUAUCAGGAGGAACACCGGUGGCGAAGGCGGGUCUCUGGGCCUUACCUGACGCUGAGGAGCGAAAGCAUGGGGAGCGAACAGGAUUAGAUACCCUGGUAGUCCAUGCCGUAAACGUUGGGCGCUAGGUGUGGGGACUUUCCACGGGUUUCCGCGCCGUAGCUAACGCAUUAAG
rnacentral:rRNA from 1 species